UGAGCAAUCUGCCCUUCUCAUCGGAAUAACCAUUGGAAACGAUGGCUAAUGCCGAAUAUGACCUCGGAACACACGUUCCGAGGUGGAAAGCUCCGGCGGAGAAGGAUGAGCUCGCGGCCUAUCAGCUUGUUGUGAGGUAAUGGCUCACCAAGGCAUUGACGGGUAGCCGGCCUGAGAGGGUGACCGGCCACACUGGGACUGAGACACGGCCCAGACCUCUACGGGAGG
rnacentral:rRNA from 1 species